rnacentral:lncRNA from 1 species
GACAAACCAUUCUGACGGGCUUGUAGCUUUAAAGGUUCACCUCGGGAGUUCAGUUCUUCUGAUUCACUCAGAGUCGAUUUUGAUUUACCUUUAGUAGAACGAUACCCAUCUUUUGACAACACUUCCACAUCAUCUUCAGGAAUCUUGUGGCUGGACUGCAAUUUCCUGACAGUACUUAUAUUUUUCUGAACCCAUCUUUUGACAACACUUCCACAUCAUCUUCAGGAAUCUUGUGGCUGGACUGCAAUUUCCUGACAGUACUUAUAAUAUUAUCAGCCACAUUACCCUUUGAAGUGCCAUUUCCAGCAUCUAAUGACUUACCUUUACCUUUCUUAGAA